GCUUGGUUAGCUCAGUCUGUUAGAGCGCAAAUCUCUUAUGAGGGAUGGUCCCAUCCUGAAAGCCUGAGGGGCCGUGGGUUCGUCUCCCACAACGAGCG
rnacentral:tRNA from 1 species